rnacentral:rRNA from 1 species
UACAUGGGGUGCAAACGUUGCUCGGAAUUAUUGGGCGUAAAGCGCGCGCAGGCGGUCAUCUACGUCUGGGGUGAAAGCCCGGAGCUCAACUCCGGGAUUGCCUUGGAUACGGGAUGACUUGAGGAUCGGAGAGGCAAGGGGAAUUCCACGUGUAGCGGUGAAAUGCGUAGAGAUGUGGAGGAACACCUGUGGCGAAGGCGCCUUGCUGGCCGAUUUCUGACGCUGAGGCGCGAAAGCGUGGGGAGCAAACAGG